UAGGCUAGAAAACAAUGGCAUUUUUAUUGAACAGAGAUGGCUCAUUAUCACGCUCCAGAGAAUUCCACCUGCUGUUCAGCAAUAUUGGUUGCCAUCUGAUAAUAACCUAUGGGGGUAGCUGUAUAAAAUAGGAAUAAAAUACCAAAUCGCUAUAUUCAUUAAUAAGUUCGCCUUCCAAAUACAGAACCAUAUGUAAUUUAAAGUCUGAAAAUAGACUACAGUUGUUAGCGUUUAAACCAAACCUUCAUGAUAACAAAUAUACAAAAAGGCAGUCAAUAUAUUAAACAUUUAAAUCAACAGCAUACAUUUCUCAGAGGUAAACAUUGAGCAAACAAAGCCACCAAUGAUGUUCAGAAGGCAGGUAGAAGUUUUAAGGUCAAGCUCCAAAUACUGUUGCUUUCCUAAAGCCGCAGUGGUAUUACACUUUUAUCUAGCCCCUACAUUGAAAACUACGUAGCAUGGACAUUUGAAAUUAUUAUAACAUUUGCUAUCCAACAGGAAAUUGGAAGUUUCUUCGGUCCUCAUUGUACCUCACUGUAUAUAUAUUAAAGCACCUGCAGAGACAGAGGGCAGUAGGAAUUAAGCACUUUGCUUUGCUAGACUGGGGUUUUACUUCUGUUAAAGGUGAGGGCAACGGCAUCCUCCUAUUGACACAAACUCCAGCACUGACAAAAGAGUAGUCUUGGCCUGACAGACAGACUUUGUGAAUAAUCAGCCUUGCAACAGGCAUGGAACAGCAAUGGGAUUUGCAUGCCUGCCUAUUUACUGUAAGUCUGCGCUACUUCUACUGCACAGAAAAGUCUCCUUAGGUAGCUGACCUAAUGCCUGAGUUUGAAAGCUUGGGAUGCAUACAUACGCUCAAAAAUAAUGUGACAAAUUUACUAUCAAUAAAAACAUGUUUUAAUGCCAACAACUAAUAAAAGUUCAUAUUGCAAUACUGCUCACAACAUAAAUGUACAAUUUGCACAAAACAUUGCUCUUCAACAUGAAUAUUUUGCAAGCUACAAUAUAUAUAUAUAAUAUGUAUAACCUUUUCUUAGAGAAUUAUAUGCUGGAGUGCAUGCAAAGAAUUUCAAAGCAGUAACACAACAGGAGCAAUCACUUGUUCACAGGUUACUGAAACCAUUCAAUACAGAAACACUGGGAUAUUAGAUAGACAGACAGAUAGGUAGAUGUAUGUACACACUGCUUUUUCGUGGACCUUCCUUUCCAUGUUACACAAGCAGUGUGGGUUCCAUAUAAGCCCAGGUCCCUACAAAAGAGUGAUUCAAACAGGGCUCUAAAUGUUCUCCACACCAUCUGAAACCAUAAAUCACUUCUGCUGGAGAUGAUGGUGAAGGAAGCACUUUGUCCUUUAGCCAGGAGUGGAGGCAAGCAAUCUUCUCCAUAGUCAACGCCUGUUCCAGUCCUACUCCUACGUUCACAAGCAGUGAGUGGUGAGCAUCUAUCCAUCCUGUGUUUUGGCUGGUUCCAAGCAGUCUCCUGCAGCCUUUACAGUUGGAAACCCAAGAAGGGAGAACUUGGAUCUCCUAAACAGCAGUGCACAGCACUGCCCCUGUUCUAGUCAGGUAUGUACAAGGAAUGAUACGUCUCCUCUGGUUAAAAAUUUACAUAGAAUAUAUACAAAUAAAGCUAUUCUAUCAAGGUGCAAGUUUAUUAUUCUCUGGUGUGUUCCAGUGAAGAUUUCUUACAAACCUUUAUACAAACUCAUCAGAAGAGUUUACACGAAGUUGACAUUUUGUCAUAGCUCACUCUGUAGGCUUUGUUCUGCAAGCUUUGGAAUGGAAACUCCCAUCACUUCCCCUUGGAGUUCUCCCUACGCACGAGACUGGAUUUGGUAGACUACAGUCACAUCUAAUAUAUAUUUUUUGUCUUCAAUACAUUUUAGACAGGAUGAAUUGGCAACAUGUGUUGUUGUGGUUUUUUUUCUCCAGGAAGUCAUCAAUCUCUAUGAAAUGAAGCAGGAUGGAAAUGGAACAACUGGACAUCACAGGGGUUGCAGUUCACGUGCCCAGUUCAGCUCUCCUUGCUUUGGAUGGGACUAUUUGUGGCAUGUGAAGCUAUGCAGUUUGGCCCUAAGGGUAUGUUUUUAAGUCCUUGGCACUAUUUCACACCAAGCCAAUGGCAGGCAAUGCCCUCAAAGAGACAGUAAAAAAAAAAGAAAAAAGAAAAAAAAGAAAAAGAUCAAAUGUAAUUUACUGAACGCAAAACAGUAAACAUCAGACUGAUGCACUAAGCAGAUGGAUAUGGAAUGCAAACUGUCUAAAAUUAGAAUGGUUGAUGUUUUCUCAGGCAGGUCUAAAUUUGUAAAACAUCUUUCCCACUCCACAAAGGCCUCAUUCUGCACCAUGUAAGUAUAAGAUGCUUCUAAUAAAGUCAUCGGGAAUGCAAAGAUUGUGAUCAAUGAGCACAAGGAAAGCCUACCCUCUCGCAUUUCUGUUCAGCAGAAACCUCAACAUUGUGCAGCUAACGAAUGUAACUUAAGUACACGUCUGUGAUCCCUGCUGAAGUAGGGCUGUUCUGUGGCAGCAGGAUUUGGCCUUCAGCAUUCAUGGUGUAUCAACCACAACUGUGUGGAUGACUGGUUGGGAAAUUCUAUCCACCAGUGCAUUAAAAAGCCUUGCAACCUCGCUGUAUUCCCACUGACUUUGUAAGAGGGUUUACCAAGUAUGUGUUCAGCACCACUGGAGUAAUAACCAAAUUAAAAUCAAGGCAGCAGAAAAUUCACAGUUUGGACAAUAUAGAACAAAUUCUUUUACAAUGCCACAGGAAAUGUGGGAUAGAUGAGUGAAGAGUGGGGUGGAUUGAGAGCUGGCUGACUGGCAGAGCUCAGAAGGUUAUCAUUGGUGCACUCCAGCUGGAGGCCUGUAGCUAGCAGUGUUCCCCCGUGGUUGGUAGAGUCCAUUCUUGUUCAACAUCUUCAUCAGUGACCUGGAUGAAGGGAUACAGUGCAACCUCAGCAAGUUUGAUGAUGAAACAAAGCUGGGAGGAGUGGCUGAUACACCAGAAGGCUGUGCUGCUGUUCAGCAAGAGCUGGACAGGAUGGAGAGUUGGGCAGAGAAGAACCUGAUGAGAUUCAACAAGAGCAGGUGUAGAGUCCUACACCUGGAGAGAAAUAACUGCAUGCAUCAGUACAGCUGAGGGGCUGACCUGCUGGAAAGGAGCUCUGCAGGAGAAGGACCUGGGUGUCCAGUUGGGCAACAGGUUGGCCAUGAGCCAGCAGUGUGACCUUGUGGCCCAGAAAGCCAAUGCCAUCCUGGGGUGCAUUACAAAGAGUGUGGCCAACAGGUUGAGGGAGGUGAUCCUCCCCCUCUUCUCUGCCCUCCUGAGGCCACAUCUGGAGUGCUGUGUCCAGCUCUGGGCUCCCUGGUUCAAGAAAGAGGUCUUCUAGAGAGACCAGCAAAGGGCCACCGAGAUGAUGAGGGGCCUGGAGCAUCUCCCUUAUGAGCACAGGCUGAGAGCCAUGGGACCUGGUCAGCUUGGAGAGGAGAAGGCUGAGAGGGGAUACUAUAAAUGUUUAUAAAUAUCAUUAGAUAUUUAUGGAGCCAGGCUCUUUUCAGUGGUGCCCUGCAUCAGAACAAGGGGCAACGGUCACAAACUGGAACAGAGGAAGUUCCAUACAAACAUGAGGAAGAACUUUCUACACUUUGAGGGUGAUAGAGCACUGGAACAGCCUGUCCAGAGAGGUUGUGGAGUCUCCUUCUCUGGAGAUAUUUUAAACCCACCUGGAUAUUUUCUUGUGUAAUCUACUGUCUGUGAGGAACUAGCUUUAGCAGAGGUUGGAUCUCCAGAAUUCCCUUCCAAUCCCUAUGAGUCUGUCAUUCUGCAUGAUUCAGUGGAUAACCAUGAACUCACAUCUCAAUGAAGACUGAGCGCUUUACCAUGUCGCCAAGAAGCAUAUCAGUCACUGGUGCAAUAAUCAAAAACCAAAGAUAAUUUCUGAAGCUACUGAACCGACUGUCCCAAACUUUUUAUUGGUAGUUUACCCAGGUUUGAUCGGGUCAAGCAAGGUGUCCCACCGGGUGAACACUGACAGUAGGGAAGUAGCUUGCACUGUGAGGAGACCUUGGGCACUUCCCACCACUCCUACCUCCUGCCACCUCAGCCCACAGACGUGCUGUGGGGUGUCCAAAAGCCACAAAGCACAGUGAAUCAGACUCCUGAAAGUCUCAUUUGAAAGCAACUCACGCAGUACACCACAAGGCAGUCAAUUUGUCCACUGCUGGGAAGGGGAAAGGGCAAGGUGGUCUGGCUUGAACCUGAGGCUUGCACAAGUCCAGAUGUUUUGAAUCUCAGUAAUCCAUCCCCGCCAAAAUAUCAGAGGUGUGAAGGCUGUGACCUUAAUUAAUUAAAAUGACCUCCUAACGGACUGGCUUUUCUAAUGUGUCUGUCUUUUUAUUUUUUCCUUUUUUUUUUUUUUUUUUGUCUGAGCAUCUCCAUUUCCCAAUGUAGCUUAUUUUAAACCAUGAAUGAUUUCUGAUUGGGUAUUUCAGGGAGUUUUUCUCCCUUUCUUUGUUUGCUUCAGAAAGGCAGUAAGAAAGAAGAUUGCUUCUCACUGCGCUAGGCAAAGCCGGGUAAUGGAAGUUUUAAUGAAAACACAGCAGCAGAGAUGAUGGGAAGUGGGAAGACCAAAGUUAACCACACACGAAAGAGUACAGGCAAAUUCACUCUUGCAGCUGCAGCAGUGGAGAUAUUUAUAAGGCCAAAAAAAAAAAAAAAAAAAAAAAACCCAACAAAAAAAAAAAGCGGUACCAAUUGCUAGAGCUCCACAGCCACAUCUGAGCAGUGUGACUGAGUAAACCCUGAGCCCUGAAAAGACCAGAGCCAAAGUGGUUGGCUGGGAAUACUCGGUGAGGGUUUGGAGAUGGGGCUGCUUUCCCCUCUCCUCCUGUCCUCUGCUCUCCUCUCCCCUUUGGCUGCAUGGAAAUUCUGAGCUGGAAACCAAAUGAAGCAGGGCACAGAGAGCUCCAAACCUUGAAAACUCAAGGGAAAGACAGGGGUUAGGCAUUUAAAUUCUUGGACCCCAUCCUUUUCCCUUACUAAGACCUUUCCGUUAGCAUGCCAUCCAACCCAGACAGAAACCGGCGCCUGCUC
ensembl:lncRNA